UCACUUGAUAUCCCAACAGUAAGUAUACAACAUCUGGUAAUGCACAAAAGUACGUGUAAGUGUAUAACUUGAGUACGUGUAAGUGUAUUCCCACUGUAUUUAUAAUACAAUAUAACAAGAUCUAUAGGUACUACACCAAUCAUUGUAAUAAGGCUAAGGUAAGAGAACUAAUGCUAAGGUAAGAGAACUAAUGUUGUCAGAUGUGGUGGAUGGCUUGAGAACCCAACAAAUUUGUUAGUCGUCCAAAAUAAUAUCCCACACGAAAUAUUAUGCACUCUGUUGAAGUUAGGGGUGGGCACGGUCCGGUCCGGUCCUAAAAUGUAAUAGGACCGGGACCAAACCGACUUGAAAGUAUCGGUUCGGUUUCGGUUCCAUGGACCGAAAUAAUUUGAAUGUAACCGGACCGAACCGGACCAAAUACAAUCGGUCCGGUUUCGGUCCGAAACUCGGUCCUGGGCUUUUUUAUUGGGCCUUUAGUCCACUACAAUUUAGAUGAUUAUUCUUAAGUUUUGGGCUUUAAACAAAAUAAGACAUACACCAAAUCAAGUACUAAAUAGGAAAAAUGUCCAAAACCAAUGAACCAACCAUGGAUCCACCAUAAGUCCACAACCAAUUACUAAUUCCUAUGUCUAGUUUAGUAAUUUACUAAUAAAAAAAAUAUUUUUUUAUUUAUUUCGGUUCGGUUCGGUUCUCUCGGUUCUAUAAAAACAACUAUAGGUACUACACCAAUCAUUGUAAUAAGGCUAAGGUAAGAGAACUAAUGUUGUCAGAUGUGGUGGAUGGCUUGAGAACCCAACAAAUUUGUUAGUCGUCCAAAAUAAUAUCCCACACGAAAUAUUAU
rnacentral:lncRNA from 1 species